rnacentral:rRNA from 1 species
CCUACGGGAGGCAGCAGUGGGGAAUAUUGGGCAAUGGGCGCAAGCCUGACCCAGCAACGCCGCGUGAAGGAUGAAGGCUCUCGGGUUGUAAACUUCCUUUGUCAGGGAAGAGUACAGGACGGUACCUGACGUAUAAGCCACGGCGAACUACGUGCCAGCAGCCGCGGGAAUACGUAGGUGGGAAGUGGUGGCCGGAUUUACUGGGUGGAAAGGGCGUGUAGCCGGGUUGACAAGGCAGAUGUGAAAUCCUGCGGCUUAACCGUAGAACUGCAGUUGAAACUGUUGAGCUUGAGUACUGGAGAGGCAGGUGGAAUUCCUGGUGUAGCGGUGAAAUGCGUAGAUAUUAGGAGGAACACCAGUGGCGAAGGCGGUCUGCUGGAGAGUAACUGACGGUGAGGCGCGAAAGCGUGGGGAGCGAACAGGAUUAGAUACCCUAGUAGUC